UACGAAGGGUGCAAGCGUUACUCGGAAUCACUGGGCGUAAAGCGUGCGUAGGCGGUUCGUUAAGUCUGCUGUGAAAGCCCUGGGCUCAACCUGGGAACUGCAGUGGAUACUGGCGGACUAGAGUGUGAUAGAGGAUGGUGGAAUUCCCGGUGUAGCGGUGAAAUGCGUAGAGAUCGGGAGGAACACCAGUGGCGAAGGCGGUUCUCUGGGCAUGUCCUGACGCUGAGGAGCGAAAGUGUGGGGAGCGAACAGG
rnacentral:rRNA from 1 species